rnacentral:rRNA from 1 species
AUUGAACGCUGGCGGCAGGCCUAACACAUGCAAGUCGAACGAGUGGCGGACGGGUGAGUAAUGUCUGGGAAACUGCCUGAUGGAGGGGGAUAACUACUGGAAACGGUAGCUAAUACCGCAUACCAUCUGAUGUGCCCAGAUGGGAUUAGCUAGUAGGUGGGGUUACGGCGCACCAAGGCGACGAUCCCUAGCUGGUCUGAGAGGAUGACCAGAAACACUGGAACGGAGGCACGGUCCAGACUCCUAAGGGAGGCAGCAGUGGGGAAUAUUGCACAAUGGGCGAAAGCCUGAUACAGACAUGCCGCGUGGAUGAAGAGGGCGUUCGGGUUGUAAAGUACUUUCAGCGGGGAGGCGUUACCCGCAGAAGAAGCGCCGGCUAACUCCGGGCCAGCCGCCGCGGUAAUUC